AACUUAUCACACAAAUGCUGCCAGCAUGUUAAGAAGUGCUGCCGUUACUGUCUCCUGCCCUUAAAGCCGCCCUUCAACCCAGCCUCCACUGUCACACAGGUGUCUUGCAGUCUCACUGGCCAAGUACCUGCCCCAUGAAACCACCCCAUCUCAGUAGAGCAAUGUGCUCUGGGCCCUGGAGCUGAUG
rnacentral:lncRNA from 1 species